rnacentral:rRNA from 1 species
GAUAUGGCUUAGGAUGAACGCUAGCUACAGGCUUAACACAUGCAAGUCGAGGGGCAGCAUGAGAUUAGCUUGCUAAUCUUGAUGGCGACCGGCGCACGGGUGAGUAACGCGUAUCCAACCUUCCCCCUACUCAGGCAUAGCCCGGUGAAAACCGGAUUAACUCCUGAUAGUUUCACUAGAUGGCAUCUGACGGUGAAUAAAGCUCAGCGGUAAGGGAUGGGGAUGCGUCUGAUUAGCUUGUUGGCGGGUAACGGCCACCAAGGCGACGAUCAGUAGGGGUUCUGAGAGGAUGGUCCCCCACAUUGGAACUGAGACACGGUCCAAACUCCUACGGGAGGCAGCAGUGAGGAAUAUUGGUCAAUGGGCGCGAGCCUGAACCAGCCAAGUAGCGUGCAGGAAGACGGCCCUAUGGGUUGUAAACUGCUUUUGUAUGGGAAUAAAGUCAGGGACGUGUCCCUGUUUGCAUGUACCAUAAGAAUAAGGACCGGCUAAUUCCGUGCCAGCCGCAGC